UUCAGAUUGUUGUUUGCCUCGAGUCUGACGAAAACAAUAAUGAACUUUAUCGGUUUAAACUACAGAGUACAGAGCCAACAGGCAUCUUGCAGUCUGGCAGUUUGGAAACAUUUUGCUUUUGUCGAGGAAGAGAGAUUUGGCGCUAUGAAGUAUGAGGAAACAAAGAACAGGGUUGAAACUCAACUAAAAUUUCUUAAGAGCCAUGUGAGCUCCUGAAAUGUAAUUUUAGGGAGCCCACAACAAAGCAUGCUAGCCCACAUCUGAUGAAAUGUUAUGCAAGAAAUCCAUGAGACAUGUGAAUGGAUCAUAUAUUUUGUGUUUGUUUUAAUUCAUUAUAACAUUUGAAUGCAUGUGAAUAUAAGUUUCCGUAAUUUUUUAUUGCAUAUAAUAUGCGUAAAUAUACUCUACCACAAAAACA